rnacentral:lncRNA from 1 species
AGUCAUCGAUGAAACUGAAAAUACACACAUCAGUCAGCUCUGUAAAGACACCAUAUUUUACAGCAUACUUUACAACACAGAGAAAACUAAACAAACACAAGUCACUGCUUAGGAACUCUGUCCACGAACAUGAAUAAGGUCUCAGGGUAGCCACCCUGCAGGUCACUAACCAUUAGUACCGGCCCUCGUUUGGUUUAUGUUGAUGUGAUUGAAACUAGGACCAAAAGCAACUUGGAAAGGAAGAUGUUAAUUUUACUUACACUUGGAAAGGAAGAUGUUAAUUUUACUUACACUUGGAAAGGAAAAUGAUAAUUCUACUUACACUUGGAAAGGAAAAUGUUCAAUGUACUUGCAUGUCAGGUCACAUACCAUUGAGGGAGGCCAGAGCAAGAGCCUGCAGGCAGAAGCUGAAGGAGCCCUGGAGGAACGGUGCUUACUGGCUUGCUCUCCAUGGCUUGCUGUCUUAUACAACCCAGGACCAUAUACCCAGGGAUGGCACUGCUCACAGUGGGCUGGGCCUUCCCCAUCAACCCUCAAGCAAACACUCCCCUACAGGCCUAGCUAUGUGCCAGUCUGAUGAGGGCACUUUCUCAGCUGGGGUUCUUCCUACUCAGAAGACUCUAGCUUGUACCAAGUUGACAAAACCAACCAACCAAGACAGUACUGUUUAUGAGCAUGCCAUGAGCUCACUGACCAUCGUAUGUGUGCUAUGUAUAUGCAAGUUCUUUGUCUAUCUUUAGAUGCCUUUGUUGUUGAAUUAUAGAAAUGUUUUUGUAAUGUUUUGUUUUGAACAGGAUCCUGCUGUCACCCUGGUUGGCCUGGAAAUCACUGUGUAAACCAGAUUGGCUUUGGAUUUUUAUAUGUUCUGGAUACUGACUUUAUCAGUUCUAUAAACCUGAGUUGUUGUUGUUUUUCUAGACCCUAAUUUUCUUAGAGGUGGCUAUAUGUAGUAUAGAUAUACAUUUUGAGUUAAGUAUUUCUCUUUCUUUUAAGUUUUUGAAAAAUAAUAUUGUACAGUGGGUCUGAACUUGCCUCCCAAGGACAAUGAUGCUAAAAGUGUGGCCACCUCGAUGGUAAGAUAGCUCUGUGUCACCUCACUGGUGAGAUAGCUCUGUCUAUGCAAGCAUGAGAGCCUGAGACCAGAUGCUGGAAAGAAGGAAGUUGAUACAAGUUAGUAAUAACCACCACUGAGGGUCAGAGCCAGGGGCAUACAAGAUUUGAGUCAGUCCUGCCAAGAAAAGAGAACCACCAGCUCAGAAGAAAUCUGUUAAAAAAAAUAAAUAAAAAUUAAAAAAAAA